rnacentral:rRNA from 1 species
UACAGAGGUCUCAAGCGUUGUUCGGAUUCAUUGGGCGUAAAGGGUGCGUAGGUGGUGAUGCAAGUCUGGUGUGAAAUCUCGGAGCUCAACUCCGAAAUUGCACCGGACACUGCGUGACUCGAGGACUGUAGAGGAGAUCGGAAUUCACGGUGUAGCAGUGAAAUGCGUAGAUAUCGUGAGGAAUACCAGAGGCGAAGGCGGCUACCUGGACAAUUGCUGACGCUCAGGCACGAAAGCGUGGGGAGCAAAAGGG